AUACGGAGGGGGUUAGCGUUGUUCGGAAUUACUGGGCGUAAAGCGCACGUAGGCGGAUUGGAAAGUUGGGGGUGAAAUCCCAGGGCCCAACCCCGGAACUGCCUCCAAAACUUCCAAUCUAGAGAUCGAGAGAGGUGAGUGGAAUUCCAAGUGUAGAGGUGAAAUUCGUAGAUAUUUGGAGGAACACCGGUGGCGAAGGCGGCUCACUGGCUCGAUACUGACGCUGAGGUGCGAAAGCGUGGGGAGCAAACAGGAUUAGAAACCCGAGUAGUCC
rnacentral:rRNA from 1 species